CGGCGCGCUUAAUGCAUGCAAGUCGAGCGGUGAGGUCUCCUUCGGGAGAUACAUCAGCGGCAGACGGGUGAGUAACACGUAGGUGACCUGCCCUAAAGAUGGGGACAACGGAUGGAAACAUGCGCUAAUACCCAAUGGACCUGUGAUGUCAGAGUCAUAGGUAAAGCUUCGGCGCUUUAGGAGGGGCCUGCGGCCCAUCAGCUAGUUGGUAGGGUAACGGCCUACCAAGGCGAAGACGGGUAGGGGGUGUGAGAGCAUGACCCCCCACAAUGGGACUGAGACACGGCCCAUACUCCUACGGGAGGCAGCAGCAGGGAAUAUUGCACAAUGGACGGAAGUCUGAUGCAGCGACGCCGCGUGGAUGACGAAGGCCUUCGGGUUGUAAAAUCCUUUUCAGGGGGACGAGAACGGACGGUACCCUUGGAAUAAGCGUCGGCUAACUACGUGCCAGCAGCCGCGGUAAGACGUAGGACGCAAGCGUUAUCCGGAUUUACUGGGCGUAAAGCGUCUGUAGGCGGUUGAGUAAGUUGGGCGUGAAAGCUCCGGGCUUAACCCGGAGAGGUCGUUCAAUACUGCUUAACUAGAGGACAUCAGAGGAGCAUGGAAUUUCCGGUGUAGCGGUAAAAUGCGCAGAUAUCGGAAAGAACACCAGUGGCGAAGGCGGUGCUCUGGGGUGGGCCUGACGCUGAGAGACGAAAGCUAGGGGAGCGAACAGGAUUAGAGACCCUGGUAGUCCUAGCCCUAAACGAUGGAUGCUAGAUGUAGGGCCGAGAAGGCUCUGUGUCGCAGUUAACGCGGUAAGCAUCCCGCCUGGGGAUUACGGCCGCAAGGCUAAAACUCAAACGAAUUGACGGGGCCCCGCACAAGCAGCGGAGCGUGUGGUUUAAUUCGAUGCUACACGAAGAACCUUACCUGGGUUUGACAUGUACGUGGUAGUGAAGCGAAAGCGGAGCGACCCUUCGGGGAGCGUACACAGGUGCUGCAUGGCUGUCGUCAGCUCGUGCCGUGAGGUGUCGGGUUAAGUCCCGUAACGAGCGCAACCCUUGCCCUUAGUUACAAGUGUCUAAGGGGACUGCCGGCGGUAAGCCGGAGGAAGGUGGGGAUGACGUCAAGUCAGCAUGGCCCUUAUAUCCAGGGCUACACACACGCUACAAUGGUCAGUACAAAGGGCAGCGAAGCCGCGAGGUGAAGCGAAUCCCACCAAAGCUGAUCUAAGUUCGGAUUGCAGGCUGCAACUCGCCUGCAUGAAGCUGGAGUUGCUAGUAACCGCGCGUCAGCCAUAGUGCGGUGAAUACGUUCCCNGGGGCUUGUACACACCGCCCGUCACGUCAUGGAAGUCGGUAACGCCUGAAGCUGGUAGUCUGGCCUUAACAGGGGGACGCCAUCUAAGGCGGGGCUGGCAACUGGGACGAAGUCGU
rnacentral:rRNA from 1 species